rfam:Macleaya cordata isolate BLH2017 scaffold1821, whole genome shotgun sequence.
AUACCUUUCUCGGCCUUUUGGCUAAGAUCAAGUGUAGUAUCUGUUCUUAUCAGUUUAAUAUCUGAUACGUGGGACAUCGUCCCACAUGAUAUUAAAUUAAUUUUUUUCUUGGGGGAGGUCCCACCACAAUAGCUUGCUAUUGGGGUCCUCUAGCGUCGCCCAUGUGUUGCACUACUGCAAGGGCCUGGCGCACCCCCA